GAUUGAACGCUGGCGGCAGGCCUACCACAUGCAAGUCGAGCGGAUGAAGGGAGCUUGCUCCUGGAUUCAGCGGCGGACGGGUGAGUAAUGCCUAGGAAUCUGCCUGGUAGUGGGGGAUAACGUCCGGAAACGGGCGCUAAUACCGCAUACGUCCUGAGGGAGAAAGUGGGGGAUCUUCGGACCUCACGCUAUCAGAUGAGCCUAGGUCGGAUUAGCUAGUUGGUGGGGUAAAGGCCUACCAAGGCGACGAUCCGUAACUGGUCUGAGAGGAUGAUCAGUCACACUGGAACUGAGACACGGUCCAGACUCCUACGGGAGGCAGCAGUGGGGAAUAUUGGACAAUGGGCGAAAGCCUGAUCCAGCCAUGCCGCGUGUGCGAAGAAGGUCUUCGGAUUGUAAAGCACUUUAAGUUGGGAGGAAGGGCAGUAAGUUAAUACCUUGCUGUUUUGACGUUACCAACAGAAUAAGCACCGGCUAACUUCGUG
rnacentral:rRNA from 1 species